GAAAAAAUUGUGGUAUCUGAUGGUGAUGGAAUAUUAUUGUGAUGAAAGGAAUAAUGAACUGGGGGAAUUCCAGAACCCCACGCCCAGGAUCCAAGCUGCAGUCUCCAGCAAAACUCCCUAGAAGACUCUCCCCAGUUAAACUACUAUCUCAAGAAGACAAUCUCUUCAGACUAUUUUCUCAAAGACCAUCUGCUCUGAGGGAGUUCAGAUCACCUGAGCAGCUAGUUGGUAUCCAUUACUGGAAGCAGAGCAACAAUGACAACAGCAGAGACAAUAGUUAA
rnacentral:lncRNA from 1 species